GUAAUGUGUGUAGCUAACCGAUACUAAUAGCUCGAUUGAUUUACUUUGCUGUGAGAUUACAUAUGCAUAUAGUGUUAAUGUUAUAAGAGUGUAGUAUCAACUCACAAAGUUAUCAGGUUAAAUAGCUUUAUCAACUAAUAAAAAUGUUAUUGCAUCACUAAUGUUAUACUGUAGCCCCGCCACGAUAUCUAGCAAAAAUUAUUUUGCUGAGUAUCGUAGUAAAAGUUAAGAUAUGAUGUUAAGAAUUUUUUUGAGUCGUGCAACAACAUUAACAGCAAACUAUAAUACAAAUC
rnacentral:rRNA from 1 species